AUUCCGUUCUAAAAUCAGGUUUAAAACACAGUCCCAACCAGAAUACCUCCAAAGUUGCCCUUACCGUGCAUUACUGACAAAUCCACCACGGUUUUCUGUUCCAUAUAUUUCCAAAACUACACUCCUCCGUUUAAAAAAUCACUGUUUCUGCAAGAUUGCUACGGUAUCCUGAUCAACUGCAAGUCACCAACUCCCUGUUUUCUGAUUAUACGUUUUUCCCCACCGAGAUACUGAGAAUGGAGUUCCACAUAGACCGGGGAUGCCUCGACUCCACCUGCAUGAGCCUGGUCCACCUGUUCCAGUGCAAAGGCACCAGCUCCGACCAGGCCGCCUCCUAGCGUGCCAGCCGCACCCUGACCGCUACCAAGACCUACUGGUGGAACUGGACGAACACCACCAUCAUCAAGGCCGGCACCAC